GUUGUUUCCCCAUCCAGGCCAUGGCAGUCAAAGUCGAAUGGAUCCUGUGCCAUAAUAAGCCACGGGAUCAUCAAAUCUGCCCAGUGUGCUGCUCCUGAUGACCUGCAACUUUGGAUCUGCGAGAAGGCAGCAGGGCCAAGCUCCCCUUUCUCACUGUGAUGGCUGCUGGCUGCAGCACCACUGCGCUGCAGCUUGACCAUGGCUUCCAGACGACCCAGCAAGAAACAGCGUCAGCAAAGCCUCAGCACACAAGGAGAGAAGCUGCGCCUGAACCAGCUAGCGCCUGUGCUGGUGGUUGGAUAUUUUUUUUUAUUUUUUUUUUGCUAAUUAGAAAGUAGAGAAAUGACCUUUAGGAUUGUACAGUAUGAUAGUGCCUUGCAAAAGCAACUCUAGCACUUGCUAGACCGAUGCUUUGCCAGACAAGUCAUUAGGACUUUAAAAUAGUUACUACACACCUGCAUAUGAGAUUAAGCAAAAUAGCCCUGAUUGUAACACUGUAGCCAGGCAAGAGCAGAGGAAGUAGUGUUCAACCAAGCGAAAUGCUCUGGGUUUAUUAUACGGUCCUGUCUGCCAUAUAUAGUUGAUGAAUUGCUAUGUGAAUUAGCUUGCUUGAGGAGCGAAAGGGUGUUAAAAGCCAGUUUUUGGAGGUGGCACGUGUCACUAUCUUGUCCGCUGGCUGAAACCCCUCUGUAGCAAUAAAGAACCACAGCUUG